rnacentral:rRNA from 1 species
CAAUAGCGUAUAUUAAAGUUGUUGCAGUUAAAAAGCUCGUAGUUGGAUUUCUGGCAGUGUGACUCCGGCCGGCGUGAUGCCGGCUCGAGCGCGCUACCAUCCUUCUGUCAACCUUCGCGGGUUUUACCGCCCGCCCUGGGGCUCAGAUAUUUUACCUUGAGAAAAUUAGAGUGUUUCAGGCAGGCUAUCGCCGGAAUACAUUAGCAUGGAAUAAUGGAAAAGGACUUCAACCUCUUCUGUUGGUCUGAGAGGCUGUAGUAAUGAUUAAUAGGGAUAGUUGGGGGCGAUUCGUAUUUAACUGUCAGAGGUGAAAUUACUUGGAUUUGUUAAAGACGGACUACUGCGAAAGACAUUUGUCCAAGGAUGUUUUCUAUUGAUCAAGAACGAAAGUUAGGGGAGUC